rnacentral:rRNA from 1 species
UACGUAGGGUGCAAGCGUUAAUCGGAAUACUGGGCGUAAAGCGUGCGCAGGCGGUUUUGUAAGUCAGAUGUGAAAUCCCCCGGGCUUAACCUGGGAACUGCGUUUGAAACUACAAGGCUAGAGUGUGGCAGAGGGGGUGGAAUUCCACGUGUAGCAGUGAAAUGCGUAGAGAUGUGGAGGAACACCGAUGGCGAAGGCAGCCCCUGGGUUAACACUGACGCUC